CUUCACCGAGCCCAGCCACAGCGGCUGGUCCUCGGCGCGGUCGUGGCCGUACGUCGCCAGCAGGGCCUGCGCCUC
rnacentral:antisense_RNA from 1 species